rnacentral:rRNA from 1 species
UACGUAGGGUGCGAGCGUUAUCCGGAAUCAUUGGGCGUAAAGAGCUCGUAGGUUCAGCAAGUCGGCUGUGAAAGUCCGAGGCUCAACCUCGGAAUUGCAGUCGAUACUGCUGUGACUCGAGUCCGGUAGAGGAGAAUGGAAUUCUCGGUGUAGCGGUGAAAUGCGCAGAUAUCGAGAGGAACACCAGUAGCGAAGGCGGUUCUCUGGGCCGGCACUGACGCUGAGGAGCGAAAGCGUGGGGAGCAAACAGG